GCCAAGUAGUCCAACACGUGCGCGAGUCAGGGGCUUGCACCAAAGCCAAACCCGUGGCACACCGAAGACGAGCGCCGGCACACGCCGGCUGAGGUGGGAUCCCAUGCGGGGACACUGGGGACUCCAUCACUCGUCGGCGUCAUGCCCUGAGAGCACACCACCGGCCCGUCUUGCCCACCCCAUUGGAGCGGUGGAGCAUGAGCACACGUGCCCAGACCUGAAAGAUGGUGAACCUUGCCUGGGCAGGGCGAAGCCAGAGGAAACUCUGGUGGAGUUCCGUAGCGGUCUUGACGUGCAAAUCGGUCAUCCAACUUCGGUAUAUAGGGGGCAAAAGAUUAAUCGAACCACCUAGUAGCUGGUUCCCUCCGAAGUUUCCCUCGGGAUAGCUGGCGCUCUACCCCGCUCCUUUUCCACCUGCAGUUUUAUCCAGUAAAGUGAAUCAUUAGAGAUCUUGGGGCUGAAACAAUCUCGAUCUAUUCUCAAACCUUAAAUGGGUAAGAAACCUGGCUCGCUGGCAUGGAGCCGGACGAGUAAUGCGAGCACCUGGUGCUGGUAAGCAGAUCCGAUGCUGUGGGAUGAACCGAACGUCGGGUUCGGGCACCCGAUGGAGACACUCAUCAGCCCCCAGAAAUGGUGUUGGUUGAUCUAGACAGCAGGACGGUGGCCAUGGAAGUCAGAAUCCGCUAAGGAGUGUGUAGCACCUCACCUGCCAAAUCAACUAACUGCGAAGAUGGCGGUCGCCGGCAGUUGGGAAGAUCCGGCUCAGCCCCUGGGUCUUUUGGCUCCGGGACCACACCCAGGGAGAACCUAGGCUGUGAUGAAUAGGAGGGCUGUUGCAGUGUACCUUGAAGCUUAGGGCGUGGGCACAGGUGGAGCAGGUGCAGGUCUUGGUAGUAGUGGCAGAUAUUCAGAUGAGAGGUUUGAAGGCCAAAGUGGAGAUAGGUUCCAUGAAGAGCGGUUGGACACGGGUCAGCUGGUCCUGAGAGAGGGGCGAGUGCCUUUCUGUUGCCCUGAAUCCGGAGCAGCGGAGACGGGCACCACAAGGUGUCCCGUGCAGUAAUGCAACUUGCCCUGGAGAAGCCGGUGGGAGCCCCGGCGAGAGAUUUCUCUUCUUUGCGAAGGGCAGGGCGCCCCAGAAGGAAUCCCCUCGAGACAGGGGCCCCACACCUCGCAAAGCGACACGAUUCAGGCGGCAUCUGGGUGUGAAUUUCACGCUGGGCCAAACCUAUAUCCAUCUGAGGGUCCAAAAGACCUCUGAGCU
rnacentral:ncRNA from 1 species